AUAGCCACAAAACAAAUAAAGUAAAAGGACUACUUCCUACACUAAUAAAAAAGGUUAGAACAAAAACAGAACAACUCUUUCUAAUGCUGUUCCUGUGCUCAAUUAAAAAUAGAGAACAAGUACAGAUGCAAUUCCUGUUACCUUGUUGUUACAAGGUGCUAGAUAUGAUGCUGUUGUAAUGAUGCUGUUGUAAUGAUGCUGUUGUAAUGCUCUACAGGUUUUUGCCAGGUCUAAGUUUUACUAAGUUUUCUUAGUAGCGUUUGCUAUUCAAAAAACGUAUUUCUAACAUUUCAAGUUGCCUGUACUUGUAUAGUGCUUUAUCUUGUCCAGAUGACUCCAGAGUGCUUUACUCUACAUUCAGUCAUUCAUACAGAAAUGGUGG